rnacentral:rRNA from 1 species
UACGUAGGGUCCGAGCGUUGUCCGGAAUUAUUGGGCGUAAAGAGCUCGUAGGCGGUUUGUCGCGUCUGCUGUGAAAACCCGAGGCUCAACCUCGGGCCUGCAGUGGGUACGGGCAGACUAGAGUGCGGUAGGGGGAGAUUGGAAUUCCUGGUGUAGCGGUGGAAUGCGCAGAUAUCAGGAGGAACACCAAUGGCGAAGGCAGAUCUCUGGGCCGUAACUGACGCUGAGAAGCGAAAGCAUGGGGAGCGAACAGG